CUAGCUAGGGAGGCAGCCCAUGCUGUGGCAGAGGGUGGAAUCCUUAGGGUUCUAAGAAACUGGGAAGCAGCCCUGCCAGUGAGAGUACCAAGCAAAGUAGCCCAGAGAUGUGUAGCCUGGGGAGCAGACUGAAGAAAGGAAGGUGGUAGGCAGGAAGCCUGUCCUGAUACUAUCAAAUGGUUCACAGAAAUGCGUUGAAUAAGUAAAAGCUUGGCUUUUCCAAAUUUCUCUACAUGGCAAAGUUUAUGUACCCACUGUUCUGAAGGCUGCCACUGAAAAAUAAACCUUGCUCAUCUACUCCUGCUCCUCUCCAUGCUCCAAGCCCAACCAGAGGCAAUGAAGACAUUCCAGGCAGAUGCCUCUGAUAGAGCAUUAGGUGCCGUUCCUUUGCAAGAAGUCAAUGGAACCCUUUGGCCUGUAGCCUAUGCCAGGAAGCUGAAUCCACAGGAGACAAGCUUCUAUUGCUAUGCUGCACUUCUGCUGGUGACAACAGGAAGAGGAGAAGGAACCCACUUACAGAGCCUGAGAAGGAUGCCUGACACCACUUCCUUCUGCAUUGUCUUAACUGGCAGUCUCAACUUGCAAUGCUAGCAAUGUCUCACUGCCAGGUGCCUAUCGCUACUGGUAUUGGAUUCAUAAUACUCAAAAAAGAAUUGUAUGACAAAUGAGCAUCAUGAUUAAUCCUGAUAAUGGUAGUAAACAGUGCAUGAAUAAAAAUUAACCCUCUCUCUGCCAUGAUGUACAGAGUUUAUAAAAAUAGACAAAUGAGACCUUGUCCUGUGAAUAUAGUAGCUACUACACAUGCAUGUGAAAUAAUGAUCGUUAAUUAAAAAAAAUAUAUUGUUUUAAUAUUAACAUGCUAUUAUUUAUUAAUGAAUAGAAUGUUUUUGUCUCUGGUCAGGUUAAGAACCAUCUAUGCAGUGUGUGUGUGUGUGUGUGUGUGUGUGUGUGCCCUGCUUCCAGGGCUGACUGUCGC